rnacentral:rRNA from 1 species
UGGGGAAUUUUGGACAAUGGGCGAAAGCCUGAUCCAGCCAUGCCGCGUGUGUGAAGAAGGCCUUCGGGUUGUAAAGCACUUUCGGCCGGAACGAAAUCGCGCGGGUGAACAAUCCGCGUGGAUGACGGUACCGGAAGAAGAAGCACCGGCUAACUACGUGCCAGCAGCCGCGGUAAUACGUAGGGUGCGAGCGUUAAUCGGAAUUACUGGGCGUAAAGCGUGCGCAGGCGGCGCCGCAAGUCAGGCGUGAAAUCCCCGGGCUUAACUUGGGAAUGGCGCUUGAAACUACGGUGCUGGAGUGUGGCAGAGGGAGGUGGAAUUCCACGUGUAGCGGUGAAAUGCGUAGAGAUGUGGAGGAACACCGAUGGCGAAGGCAGCCUCCUGGGCCAACACUGACGCU